rnacentral:rRNA from 1 species
AUUGAAGAGUUUGAUCAUGGCUCAGAUUGAACGCUGGCGGCAGGCCUAACACAUGCAAGUCGAGCGGAAACGAGUUAUCUGAACCUUCGGGGGACGAUAACGGCGUCGAGCGGCGGACGGGUGAGUAAUGCCUAGGAAAUUGCCCUGAUGUGGGGGAUAACCAUUGGAAACGAUGGCUAAUACCGCAUGAUGCCUACGGGCCAAAGAGGGGGACCUUCGGGCCUCUCGCGUCAGGAUAUGCCUAGGUGGGAUUAGCUAGUUGGUGAGGUAAGGGCUCACCAAGGCGACGAUCCCUAGCUGGUCUGAGAGGAUGAUCAGCCACACUGGAACUGAGACACGGUCCAGACUCCUACGGGAGGCAGCAGUGGGGAAUAUUGCACAAUGGGCGCAAGCCUGAUGCAGCCAUGCCGCGUGUGUGAAGAAGGCCUUCGGGUUGUAAAGCACUUUCAGUCGUGAGGAAGGUGGUGUCGUUAAUAGCUGCAUUAUUUGACGUUAGCGACAGAAGAAGCACCGGCUAACUCCGUGCCAGCAGCCGCGGUAAUACGGAGGGUGCGAGCGUUAAUCGGAAUUACUGGGCGUAAAGCGCAUGCAGGUGGUUUGUUAAG